rnacentral:rRNA from 1 species
UACGUAGGGGGGCUAGCGUUGUCCGGAAUCAUUGGGCGUAAAGCGCGUGUAGGCGGUCCGGUAAGUCCGCUGUGAAAGUCGGGGGGCUCAACCCUCGGAUGCCGGUGGAUACUGUCGGGCUUGAGUACGGAAGAGGCGAGUGGAAAUUCCUGGUGUAGCGGUGAAAUGCGCAGAUAUCAGGAGGAACACCCGAUUGCGAAGGCAGCUCGCUGGAACUUACGACGCUGAGACGCGAAAGCGUGGGGGAGCAAACAGG